rnacentral:rRNA from 1 species
AGUUCGAUUCUGGCUCAGAUUGAACGCUGGCGGGAUGCUGCAUACAUGCAAGUCGAACGGCAGCACGGACUUCGGUCUGGUGGCGAGUGGCGAACGGGUGAGUAAUGUAUCUUUGUCGCCUGUAGUAGCGGGGGAUACGAAGGCAGCUAAUAUACCGCACAUUGCCCUGGUGGAAAGGCGGGGACCUUCUGGCUUCGCAAAUUAUUAGAGCGGCCGAUAUCGGAUUAGCUAGUUGAGGUAACGGCUCACCGGCGAUUGAUCCAGCGGCUGGUUUGAGAGGAAUGACCAGCCACACUGGGAUCGGAGACACGGUCGACUCCGCCGGGAGGCAGCAGUGGGGAAUUUUGGACAAUGGGGAAACCCUGAUCCAGCCAUCCUGCAGCGUGCGCGAUGAAGCAUUUCAGUUGUAAAGCACUUUGGCAGGAAGAAAAUGGCAAUGGGAUAAUAAUUCCCGUAACUGACGGCCUGCACACCGCCAACUACGUGCCAGCAGCCGCGGUAAUACGUAGGGUGCAAGCGUUAAUCGGAAUUACUGGGCGUAAAGUGCGCGCAGGCAGUUCGGGAAAGAAAGACGUGUGAACCUUAAGAGCUAACUUGGAACUGCAUUUUUAAUCAUCGAGCCAGAGUGUGUCAGGAGGGAGGUGGAAUUCCAGUGCAGUGAAAUGCGUAAGAUAUGCGGAGAACACCGAUGGCGAAGGCAGCCUCCUGGGAUAACACUGACGCUCAUGCACGAAAGCGUGGGGAGCAAACAGAUUAGAUACCCUUGGUGGCCCACGCCUCUUGCACCAGAGGUCGAAUUGCAAGAAGCCGUUGGGGCCUUCGCCUGGUAGCGUGUUAACGCGUGGAAGCUGACCGCCUGGGAGUACGGUCGCAAGAUUAAAACUCAAAGGAAUUGACGGGGACUGCACAAGCGGUGGAUGAUGUGGAUUAAUUGAUGCAAAUGCGAAAAACUCAUCACCCUGACAUGGCUCCAGAAUCCCGAAGAGAUUUGGGAGUGCUCGAAGAGGAACCGGAACACAGGUGCUGUAUGGCUGUCGUCAGUCGCAGUCGCGAGAUGUUGGGUUAAGUCCCGCGCAACGAGCGCAACUUCGAAGUCACUUAGUUGCUGGCGGUGGUGCGCAAAGACCUACGAGACUGCUGGUGACAAACCGGAGGAAGGUGGAUGACGUCGUCUCAUGGGCCUUUAUGGGGUAGGGCUUCACACGUCAUACAACGGUCAAAAUAGAGGGUCGCCAACCCGCGAGGUGGUUUUUCAAUCCCAGAAACCCGAUCGAAUCCACGGAUUUGCUCCGCAACCUGACUGCGGAAGUCACGGAAUCGCUAAAAUCGCGGAUCAGCAUGUCGCGGUGAAUACGUUCCCGGGUCUUGUACACACCGCCCGCGUCACACCAUGGGAGCGGGUUUUAACAGAAGUAGCGGGGUCAACCCGUAAGGAGGGCGAUUACCACGGUGAUUCAUGCAGAAUCAGGUGAAGUCGUAACAAGGGUAGCUUUCCAGCCAUACCUGAUGGCUCUGGUGA